rfam:Streptomyces sp. MBRL 10 scaffold00249, whole genome shotgun sequence.
GGUCACGAGUGACAGCGUUUAGGCCCCGGCUUGCUGUCCGGCAACCCUCCUUCCGUGGCGGGGUGCCCCGGGUGAUGACCAGGUCGUAGGCAGCAAGGCCUGCGGCAAGCGCGGAUC